rnacentral:lncRNA from 1 species
GGGGGCUGGGCCUGGAGACCUGGUUUCGAGGGGCGCUCGCCCGGAACUGAGCCGCGUACGCCCGCCCGGGGGUCGGGUCUGGAACCUGCCCUCGGCGUGCUCGCUCUCUCUUUCACCACCCCAUUCCCCUCUCCCCCAUUUUUGUCUCUGUCUCCCACUCCGCACAGGUACCGAGAACUUUCUGGGCUGUAACGUCCCCGACCUCGCUGAUGGCGUUGCCUGGGCUUUGCAAAUAUGCGGAGGAGACUCACGGGGCAUCUGGGCCUCAGCACUGAGUAUGUGAGGGAGUGCCUAACAUUUCAUUAGUAAAUACACCCAGACAACUGCUUCUAUGGCCUCAAACUGGCCCUCCGCGGGCCGGGGUGGGCCUGGAUUCCGCACGGGGGCGAAAUUGUGGCCUUGUUCCCGGUGGCCUUCGGCUUCGCUCUUUGGGCUGCCUCGGAACCAAGCGCGACCUGCCCUUUUCCGCGCUCUUAUUCCAAAUCGACAGGCCCAAACGGCCACCGCCUGAGCCCAGUAGAGCCCAGAUUGAGGGGUGGUUGAAGUGUCUGAGGGGAAAGGGCUGCCUGCGGGACCCCAGGCCCUGCUACCCUAAAUGCCAGGUUCAGCGUCGGGCGAAGGCUCCUUCUCCGCACUGUAUCCGAGAGAACCCCCAAGGCGCGGCAGUGCUGGCCGUCUG